rnacentral:rRNA from 1 species
AUGGCGUUGUGGUGUGAGAACAUGGCGUUGCCGCCCCGUGUCCUUGUUGCUCCCCGCCCUUCUGGCGCCAAUGGUCAAGGGAAUAUUCUAUUACUUCGCCAUCCGAAACUAGAAGAAGAAACACAGUAUCUGUUCACUGAUGGCCAACUUCAUGAGUUCAAUUGGUUUAAGGAGCGUUAUGGUUCUUGGUUCUUGGGAGAUUAUGUCUGUGAAGAUGGUAGCGUUUACUAUUGCACACUUGUUGACCCCAUCUUCAUUCUUCUACCACUUCUCGAAGCUGCACGUAUGUCGAACGGUAAGGAUCUAGGAAAAUUCAGACAGCUGGAUGAAAUUUUAUACAUCGAAGGUUAUCCUGGAUAUCAGCACCUCAUGAGUAUAGCAGGAAAGCAUGUGGAACUGGUUUGUGAAGUUAAAGAAGUUGCUAAUAUGAAGUUCUUCAGGCUAGAUGAUUCCAAGGUCUUAACUUGGCUGUGCUGUAAGGUACACAGUAUAAAAGAGGCUAUCUCCAAGUUAGGUAAAAAUUAUGCUGCUCAAGGAGAAAGAGAACUGUUGAAGGAGGCUGUCCAAAUAAUUCGUGAAAACCUGAAGGAUGAACCGUGGCUAAUGGUACUCUGCAAGAAGUUGAAGUUAGACAUCAAUGAGAUAAAUGAUAUGGCCAAAACCAAUGACACGUCAUUUUGUGCUGAUAGUUCUCCAGUACCUGCUCCAGCUCGUCCCUCAGAGGUAAACUCCUCAAGAAUGCUUGAUCUUUUUUCAACGCUCACACCAUGUUCUCUAAGCUUGUCAAAUGCGUCAAUACAGGGUGGUGUAGGAAAUAGCAGUGCCAAGUCAAGCAAAGGGAGGCCUGCGAAGAAACUGAAGCCUGAGGUAGGAUCAAAGAACAUAAAAGACAUGUUCCGAAGGGUGACAAGGAGUGGGACAUAA